UAAAAGAUUGUUCCCACAUGAUCACCAACCUUAUUCUAUCACAUAAAAUCUUUAUAACGAAGGAAGAAGACCCAAUAUGCAGCCAAAACUGACCCCAACAUUUCAACAUAGACAACUAGCUAGCUAGACAAGGUUAUGACAUGAGCAUAAGUAAUGCAAUUGUUUAAUUUGAUCAGAUCGACACCAUACUACUGACCAAAUGCUUAAAGCAAUAUCGACAUUCUAGAUGCUUUCACAUGAUUGUGCAUGACGAGGGAUUAUCUUCACAGACAUAUUCACAUCUGCACACAUAGUAACCGCUUCUUUGGCAACCACAGCCGCCGCCGCUGCCAGCCCAACUAUCAUACACUGGCCUUCCAUAAGCUUCAUAACAUGGGGGUGCUGGCCUAGCAUUGUCAUGAUAACACGGGCCUCCACUAAUCCCAUGGUAGCAUUCAGCACAACAUGUCCUUGGGUGGACUGGUUCCGGAGCUUUAGGUGGUGGUGGUCGUGUCGGGUUUGGAGCUGGGAUUGGGGCGGGUGCUGGCCUCCUAUAGUCAUGAUAACACGGGCCUCCACUAAUCCCAUGGUAGCAUUCAUCACAACAUGUCCUUGGGUGGACUGGUUCCGGAGCUUUAGGUGGUGGUGCCGGGUUUGGAGCUGGGAUUAGGAAGGGUGCUGGCCUCCUAUGGUCAUGAUAACAUGGGCCUCCACUAAUCCCAUGGUAGCAUUCAGCACAACAUGUCCUUCGGUGGACUGGUGCCGGUUUCUCUGGUUCUUUGGGUUUCUCUGGUUCUUUGGGUUUCUCCGGUUCUUUGGGUUUCUCUGGUUCUUUGGGCUUCUCCGGUUCUUUGGGAUUCUCCGGUUGCUUAGGCUUUUCAGGUUCUUUCGGCUUCUCCGGUUCUUUAGGUUUAGAUGGUGGUGCUUUGGGUUUCUCUGGAACCUUGAUCUCAAUGCUCUGGACAGCUUCACCUCCUUUACAGAUUAUCUUUUCCUUGAUCUUUUCAGGACUGCAACAUACCACAGUGAUGGUCACUGUGCCUGCCUUCUUGUCAUAUAUCUGGUUCUGAAUUUCUCUUGUUCACAAUCCACAAAAACAACUUAGCCACUUUCCUUUCAUCUUAAAACUGCUCAAACUAAGUUAUUAUACAUGGAGAAGGAGGCACUCACGAGGGAUUCUACACAGUACUUUCUUGAUUUUCUUGUGGCAUUUCUUACAUUCAAGGUCAACCUUGAUCACCAUUAUUGUGACUUUCUGCAAUACGAGCACAUAAAAACAAGGACAUUCUAAGCCAAGAAGAAUAUUGAAAGGACUGGAACACUUUCUGACAUGGAAGGAUAUUGAUCAGUAAAGAUAAUGAACAAGAAGAUGAGGUCCAUAGGGCCAAAAACAAGGACCACAACACAUAAAAAGAAGAAAAACCCAGAUGAAUGGACUAAAUAAAAGAUAAAUCUAAACCAAUAAAAGAAGAAGAAGGAAAAUGUAUCAAAAUCUCCACAUCCAUCCAUGCACAUACCUUUUCAGCCAUGGUUUUGUCGAAGCUUUGAUCUGGACCUGAUGAGAUGAUAGAAUUGAGAGCAGAGUGAAGGAACAGACCAGAGGGUGAGAGGGAGAUAUAGAGGCUUCUAAAAUUAAGAUUGAUCACAACUUAAGUAGUAGAAGUGUGAGACCAAAGUUUAAAUACCGUGCAUCUAGAGGCCAAUAAGAAGAGAACACAUGGGAUUGGGUGUUGAGCUUGACGUCAUAUUGUCGUUUUCUUUUUUAUUGCUGACCCUCCAAACCUGCGUAUGCAAGCGCUGGCUUUGAUGGACACAUCUCACCUUCAAUUUUGUUAAUCAUUUCGAAGGCUGUUGUGCAUCCUACGGUGCAUUAGUUCAGUCAUGUCAAUAAAUGAGCCAUGCAAACCCCAUGACAACCGUACACGUGUCCCAAAAAAAUUCACCAUAAAAAAUUAAAAAUCUUCAAUUAAUAUUUCCAUAUCUCAUGUUAAAAGAAUUUAGCCGGUGUUUGAUUGUUGUUUCCUGAUAAAAACAUAGAAAACUUGAAUUAUAAAUUUAUUUUAAAAUUAUUACAAAAAACAAUUUUAUUUUAUAUUCUUAUUUUUAUCCUCCGUUCUACACUAACAACACAUAAUUUGAAGAGGUAUUAUAAUUCUAAUUAACGAGCUCCUCUGUUUCAAAAUUUGGAUUUAUAAAGUAACAUAAGAACACAUAUCUCUUUAACAACUUGUCCAAAUUGGAUUAAUUUUUUAUGAUACAUGUAAGGUAAUUAGUUGUAUUUUUUAAUAAAAAGAUAAUUAGAACAAAAAUAAUUAAUAAGUUGUGAUAUUUGUAUUACUCUCUCUUGUAUUUAUAUUUUUUCUAAAAGUACAUCUUAUAAAAUAAUUAAUAAAUUAUUACUAAUUCCCAUCAUCACCAUGGAAUACUUCAUAUAAUCUAAACGACAAAAAUCUGUAUAAUUAUAUAUAUAAUGAUAUGAAAACCAGAAAUUAGAAACCCAAGUCGUUAAGCAAGUAGCUCACCGUUUUAUCUCAUCACUUUAACCAUAAAGGUGCUAGGACAUAAAGAAGAAAGUUAACAAAUUGUGGGCCCAGAAGUUGCGUCCAUGAGUGCCGACUUUGAAAGCUGAGGCAGGUUUAACUAAUCGUUUGAAAUUACGGUCAACUGUAUUUUUUAAAAUUUUAAUUUUUUAAUAUAUAUAUAUAUAUUUGAUUGUUUUGAUAUACUGGUACAAGAAUAAAUCUUGAAAAAUAAAAAUUAUAUGUUUUAUUUUAAUAUAUUUUCAAUAAUGUUAGUGUUUAGAGAGCAACUAAUAUAAAUUUCGUAGUCGGCAACUUUACAUAAUCUCAUAUCAACAAAUCAGGAGAAGGAAGGGAACUGCUCAUUCAUGGUAGAAUUCUUAUCGCCAAGUACGAUGAUGGGAUCAUGACAGUCCACAUUCCAUUAUCUAGAUGGAUCAUGCAUGACCUAAAUUUCUGACAGCGAAGCUUGAUAACGUUUACAAAACAAAAACCAUCGAUCAGUUACUGUCAGAAAUUAAAGAAAGCAAAUGGAAAGUGAAUGGAAGGGAGAUGCUGAGAUGCACCAUCACUGUAUAUACAAAUAGCAAUGAUUAUGGAAGCUUUAAAAUCUCCCUUAUAUUAAUUUAUUAAAAAUCUUAACAUCUCUUGUAAUAAAAUAUUGUGCCCACAUCACCAACCUUAUUGUAUCACAUAAAAUCUCUAAAACGAAGGAAGAAGACCCAAUAUGCAGCCAAAACUGACUAGCUAGACAAGGUUAUGACAUGAGCAUGAGCAAUGCUAUUGUUUAAUUUGAUCAUAUCGACACGAUACUACUGUCCAAAUCCAGUGAUUUUUGGUGGAAAUCGGCUUAAGGCAAUAUCGACAUUCUAGAUGCUUUCACAUGAUUGUGCAUGACGAGGGAUUAUCUUCACAGACAUAUUCACAUCUGCACACAUAGUAACCGCUUCUUUGGCAACCACAGCCGCCGCCGCCGCCGCCACCCCAAUUAUCAUACACUGGCCUUCCAUAAGCUUCAUAACUCGGGGGUGCUGGCCUACCAUAGUCAUGAUAACAUGGGCCUCCACUAAUCCCAUGGUAGCAUUCAGCACAACAUGUCCUUGGGGGGACUGGUUCCGGAGCUUUAGGUGGUGGUGGUGCCGGGUUUGGAGCUGGGUUUGGGGCCGGUUCUUUGGGUUUUGGUGUUUCAACAAUAAGCGCUUUAGGCUUCUCCGGUUCUUUGGGUUUCUCCGGUUCUUUGGGCUUCUCCGGUUCUUUGGGUUUCUCCGGUUCUUUGGGCUUCUCCGGUUCUUUGGGUUUCUCCGGUUCUUUGGGCUUCUCUGGUUCUUUGGGUUUCUCCGGUUCUUUGGGCUUCUCUGGUUGCUUAGGCUUCUCAGGUUCUUUCGGCUUCUCCGGUUCUUUGGGUUUCUCUGGUGCUGCUUUGGGAUUCUCUGGUGCUUUGGGUUUCUCUGGAACCUUGAUCUCAAUGCUCUUGACAGCUUCACCUCCUUUACAGACUAUCUUUUCCUUGAUCUUUUCAGGACUGCAACAUACCACAGUGAUGGUCACUGUGCCUGCCUUCUUGUCAUAUAUCUGGUUCUGAAUUUCUCUUGUUCACAAUCCACAAAAAUUAACCACUUAGCCACUUUCAUUUCAUCUUGAAACAGCUCAAACUAAGUUAUAAUACAUGGAGAAGCUAGGAGGCACUCACGAGGGAUUCUACACAGUACUUUCUUGAUUUUCUUGUGGCAUUUCUCGCAUUCAAGGUCAACCUUCAUCACCAUUAUUGUGACUUUCUGCAAUAGGAGCACAUAAAAACAAGGACAAAAUUUCUAAGCCAGGAAGAAUAUUGAAAGGACUGGAACACUUUCUGACAUGGAAGGAUAUUGAUCAGUAAAGAUAAUGAAAAAGAAGAUGAGGUCCGUAGGGCCAAAAACAAGGACCACCGCAUAAAAAGAAUAAAAACCCAGACGAAUGGGCUAAAUAAAAGAUAAAUCGAAACCAAGAAAAGAAGAAGAAGGAAAUAUAUCAAAAUCUCCACAUCCAUCCAUGCACAUACCUUUUCAGCCAUGGUUUUGUCCAAGCCUUGAUCUGAGCCUGAUGAGAUGAUAGAAUUGAGAGCAGAGUGAAGGAACGGACCAGAGGGUCAGAGGGAGAUUGAGAUACGAAAAGGAGGCUUAUAAAAUGAAGAUUGAUCACAACUUAAGUAGUAGAAGUGUGGGGACAUAGUUUAAAUACCGCGCAUCUAGUAGGCAAUAAGAAGAGAACACGUGGCAUUGGGUGUUGAGCUUGACGUAAUAUUGUCGUUUCAUUUUUAAUUGCUGACCCUCCGAUCAUGCACAUGCAUGUGCUGGCUUUGAUGGACACAUCUCACCUUCAAUUUUGUUAAUCAUUUCGAAGGUUGUAGUGCAUCCUACGGCGCAUUAGUUUAGUCAUGUCAAUAAAUGAGCCAUGCAACCCCCAUGACAACCGUACACGUGUCCCCAAAAAACUCCCCUCAUAAAAUUAAAAAUCUUCAAUUAAUAUUUCCAUAUCUCAUGUGUAAAAGAAUUUAGAAAACAUGAAUUAUUGUAUUUAUUAUUUUACCAUGAAUAUGAGAAAUGAGAAAUUAGAAACCCAAGUCGUAAAGCAAGUAGCUCAUCGUUUUAUCUUAUCCCUAUGUGUGGAUAUAAAGAAGAAAGUUAACAAAUUGUGGGCCCAGAAGUUGCGUCCAUGAGUGCCAACUUUGAAAGCUGAGGCAGGUUUAACUAACCGUUUGAAAUUGCGUUCAACUGCUUUUUAAAAAAAAACAUUUAUUUUUAAAUUUUUAUUUUAUAUAUCUUUAGAUUAUUUUACGAUGGCAUGAAGAAUAAAUUCAAAAAAAAAUUCAAAAAACAAUCCCAGCAAAAUCAUUAUUGCUUUCCAGAAUUGUUGAGAGGAAUCACAUGAAUCUAAUUUGAAGUUUGGGCCUCUACUCUGCAGGUCAUGAAAGUAGAGAAUCCAAGGAAAGCCAUGUGCCAGUCCAUUAUCUAUGUUUUCUGAAUGACAAACUGGGUUUCAUUAACACUGAGCUUAGCCCAUGUUUCACAGGGCAUAUUAAUCAGCCCAUCACUUCCAUGGCUAUACCAGGACUGGCUAAGAAGCCCGGAGGCUAAAACAGGCCUGCAAGCAACACAUAUUGCUUUGCUCCGGGUCAAAUAUUAUUCUUUCUAGUAGAAAGAAUGAAUAAAUAUGUUUUUUUUAUUAUGUUUUUUAAUUUAAAAAAUUCUUAUUUUAAACAAAAAAAAACUUUAUAUAUUCAUCCAAUUAAAUAAAUUGAAAAUUUGAUUGUAUAACCAUAGUUGAUGUAGAAUCUGGCUCGAACCAAGUUUUAUAUUAUUGGAGUGACUGUUCGCUCGAUUAACCUAGAUGAUGAGACUCAACUUGAUAAAUUACUUGGAUUUUUUAAAUGUGUAUUAAAAAUAACAUUUUUAGACUUUUUUUUAACCAAAACAAUAUCAUUUUAUGAUAUAUCUGGAUUGAUAUAUGAUAAACUUUCUAACCCAUUAAACAUUUAUUUACAACGUGAGAGAAUAGGAAUCCCAUAUAUUGACCCGAAGGAGAUGCUGAUUGAUAACGUUUACAAACAAAAGCCAUCGACCAGUUACUGUCAGAAAUUAAAGAAAGCAAAUAGAAAGUGAAUGGAAAGGAGAUGACCAUCACUAUAUAUAUACAAAUAGCAGUGAUUAUGGAAGCUUUAAAAUCCCUUAUAUUAAUUUAUUAAAAAUCUUAACAACUCUUGUAAUAAAAUAUUGUUCCCACAUGAUCACCAACCUUAUUGUAUCACAUAAAAUCUUUAUAACGAAGGAAGAAGACCCAAUAUGCAGCCAAAACUGACUAGCUAGACAAGGUUAUGACAUGAGCAUGGGUAAUGCUAUUGUUUAAUUUGAUCAUAUCGACACGAUACUACUGUCCAAAUCCAGUGAUUUUAGGUGGAGAUCGGCUUAAAGCAUCGACAUUCUUGAUGCUUUCACAUGAUUGUGCAUGACGAGGGAUUAUCUUCACAAACAUAUUCACAUCGGCACGCAUAGUAACCGCUUCUUUGGCAACCACAGCCGCCGCUGCCACCCCAACUAUCAUGCACUGGCCUUCCAUAAAUUUCAUA
rnacentral:lncRNA from 1 species